CCAGACAAGCACGCUUACUAUACGUAUAUUAAAUUUUAAAAGCGUAUAUAAGUAUUAAAUAACCACGUCUUCUAUCUUAUAUGUUCAUGGUUGUGUUUGUUUAUCACAAACUAUUUUAAUAGUGGUAUAAUUGGUUUCCUUCUUAUGUGUUUAUAUGAGAAUAUAUAUAAAUAUCUCGGUUCACCCACAGGACUUGUUCUGGUUAGUUAAAGGUCUUCUUCUUGGAGGCAAAGACAAAUCAACUGUGCAUCAGUUUCUUUUUGAUAAGUUGUGUUUGUUGUGUACAGUUUCUAAUUUGACGAGUUAACUACCAACCAAUUCUUUAGAUAUAUGAGAAGGAUGUCGCAACGUUUACGGAAGUCUCGAGAUUCUUCAUAGAGGUCGAUCGCUGUUGCACAUUGAAGACGCACGGUCGUCAACAGAAUUGUGUGUUUUUGCAUUUAUGUGUAAAAAACUGUCAAAUCCAAACAACCUCUCCUGA